GUUGGGCACUCUAAGUUGACUGCCGGUGACAAACCGGAGGAAGGUGGGGAUGACGUCAAAUCAUCAUGCCCCUUAUGAUUUGGGCUACACACGUGCUACAAUGGACAAUACAAAGGGUAGCAAAACCGCGAGGUCAAGCAAAUCCCAUAAAGUUGUUCUCAGUUCGGAUUGUAGUCUGCAACUCGACUACAUGAAGCUGGAAUCGCUAGUAAUCGUAGAUCAGCAUGCUACGGUGAAUACGUUCCCGGGUCUUGUACACACCGCCCGUCACACCACGAGAGUUUGUAACACCCGAAGCCGGUGGAGUAACCUUUUGGAGCUAGCCGUCGAAGGUGGGACAAAUGAUUGGGGUGAAGUCGUAACAAGGUAGCCGUAUCGGAAGGUGCGGCUGGAUCACCUCCUUU
rnacentral:rRNA from 1 species